AGAGGGUGCGAGCGUUAAUCGGAAUUACUGGGCGUAAAGCGUGCGUAGACGGUUAUUUAAGCCGGGUGUGAAAGCCCCGGGCUCAACCUGGGAAUUGCAUUCGAGACUGAAUAGCUAGGGUACGAUAGAGGGAAGCGGAAUUUCCGGUGUAGCGGUGAAAUGCGUAGAUAUCGGAAGGAACAUCAGUGGCGAAAGCGGCUUCCUGGACCAGUACCGACGUUCAGGCACGAAAGCGUGGGGAGCAAACAGGAUUAGAUACCCUGGUAGUCCACGCCAUAAACGAUGAGGACUAGACGUUGGAGGGGUAAGCCUUUCAGUGUCGUAGCUAACGCGCUAAGCCCUCCGCCUGGGGAGUACGGCCGCAAGGUU
rnacentral:rRNA from 1 species